UACGUAGGGUGCGAGCGUUAAUCGGAAUUACUGGGCGUAAAGCGUGCGCAGGCGGUCUGUUAAGACCGAUGUGAAAUCCCCGGGCUUAACCUGGGAACUGCAUUGGUGACUGGCAGGCUUUGAAUCUGGCAGAGGGGGGUAGAAUUCCACGUGUAGCAGUGAAAUGCGUAGAGAUGUGGAGGAACACCGAUGGCGAAGGCAGCCCCCUGGGUCAAGAUUGACGCUCAUGCACGAAAGCGUGGGGAGCAAACAGG
rnacentral:rRNA from 1 species